GGAAUAUUGGACAAUGGGCGAAAGCCUGAUCCAGCCAUGCCGCGUGUGUGAAGAAGGCCUUUUGGUUGUAAAGCACUUUAAGCGGGGAGGAGGGCACCACGGUUAAUACCCGUGAAUGUCGGACGUUACCCGCAGAAUAAGCACCGGCUAACUCUGUGCCAGCAGCCGCGGUAAUACAGAGGGUGCGAGCGUUAAUCGGAAUUACUGGGCGUAAAGCGCGCGUAGGCGGCUUGUUAAGUCAAAUGUGAAAUCCCCGAGCUUAACUUGGGCAUUGCAUUCGAUACUGGCAAGCUAGAGUAUGGGAGAGGAAGGUAGAAUUCCAGGUGUAGCGGUGAAAUGCGUAGAGAUCUGGAGGAAUACCGAUGGCGAAGGCAGCCAUCUGGCCUAAUACUGACACUGAGGUACGAAAGCAUGGGGAGCAAACAGGAUUAGAUACCCGUG
rnacentral:rRNA from 1 species